rnacentral:lncRNA from 1 species
CAAUUCUAAAGUACAAUGAAAACCCAUAUCAUGAUAUUAAUUUGAUAAAAAAGACAAUUCAAAGCCAAGAGAGUACUUAGACAUGUCAUUUCAUUAAACAGUAUAAACUCUGAUGUGUUAUAGGCACAGUGGAACCAAUAAGCCAUUAACAUGACAUCAUGCAAUAGCCAAGAGCAUAAUAUGAACCAGCUUUGUACAAGAGCAGGUAUGAACACAAAGCAGAAAGUAAAAUGUUCAAUCAAUUAAUGUAAACAGAGUUAUACAAGCUUGCCUAUUGGUAGGUUAUAAAUCAUUGUGUCUCAGUGGGGAAGUCUAUUAUAAUUGCAUAACAAAGCUUAGUGAUUCUAAAUACUCUACAGUAAAUCUUCUAUCAGUCUUGGCUUGGAAUCUCUGUCCCAAGAGCUAACUGUUACUUGUUGUGUUCAGCCCAAAUCAAUGCCCAGAGAAGAUUUUAGUGAAAGGACUUGUGAGCAGACCUCCAAAUGUUCCCAUACUAGAUCUGGAUAAAUACCCACUAGCUCAGUGGCUUAUGUUGACUCUUGAAACAUGCAAAGGCAAGCUGGAAUAUGUGAGAACAAGCAUUUAGGGUUAGAACUAAAUAAACACUCCAGAGAAGCCAGAGAAAAUUAAUAGUCACUCAAGGAAAUAGGCAUCCAGACAUUUUCAGCUUUUAAAAUGAACACUGGAAGAUUUUUUUCCUAGACAAAUGUGCCCUCUAAAUCUCAAAAGAAGGCUCACUGAAGCUGAAAACCCUUUACCCCAUCUCAGAUAAAAUCUAAAACAAGCAACAUUGAAACGACAGGGAGCCACAAUGAGAAAUUUGGAACAUUAAAAGUUUAGCAAAUCAAACUGCAACCAACUUAGAUCACCUGAGUUCCUUUUCUUCUGCCAUUUGAAAUUUCCAUACAGCUUUCCAUUUCUACAAUUAUAACCUUUAAAUGAUUAUAUAAAUAUUGACAAGAAAACUAGUUUCCACCCAGACUCUGAGACUAAUACCCC